ACUGCCCAAUGACAUCGCCUGUUGCUCCGAAUCCUGCAUGAUUGACAGUGAGACGGGGCGGGCACAUGGAAAGGCCUCUCGGCCGUUGGUCGGAAAGGGGGCGGGACAUCGCGGGGGUCGGUCUUCGGGGGGAACGGAUCUCGCAGAGAGGCAGUGGAUGGUUCAAUUUGUUCGUCACACGCUCGAGUCGCUCGGAAGAAGAAACUUUUAUGAUCAGUUUCUAUGUUUACUGCACCCUCACCAACUUCUACAGAUGCACCAUUGAGAGCACACUUGUCCAGCUGCAUAACAACUUAGUAUGGCAACUGCAAUGCCCCGAACUGUAAGAAACUACAGGAGGCACAGCCCAGGCCAUCACGGGACCUAACCUUCCAACAAUGGACUCCAUUUAUACAGCCCGCUGCUGCUAAAAAGCUACCAACAUCAUCAAGACUCUUCGCACCCCAGUAACAAUCUCCUACAACCUGUUCCAUUAGGCAGAAGGUAACGAAGCGUGAACACACACAUCAGCAGGUUCAGGACAGCUUCUUCACGACCAUUAUUAGAGUAUUGAAUGAACUCUGUCGCCUCAAAUAAUACUUAUCUUGCUAGCAUUGAUCUCUUUUGUACACUCUGCAAUGUAUGCCUCUGUCUAAAUCUGUUUUCUUCUAUACAUGCUUGCUCACUAUGAUCUGCCUGUACUGUUUGUAGACAAAGUAUUUCACUAUACUUUGGUACACAUGACAAUAAAGCAAUCAAUCAUUCAAUUUC